UACGGGGGGGGCAAGCGUUGUUCGGAAUUACUGGGCGUAAAGGGCUCGUAGGCGGCCAACUAAGUCGGAUGUGAAAUCCCCAGGCUUAACCUGGGAACUGCAUCCGAUACUGGAUGGCUUGAAUCCGGGAGAGGGAUGCAGAAUUCCAGGUGUAGCGGUGAAAUUCGUAGAUAUUGGGAAGAACACCGGUGGCGAAGGCGGCUAUCUGGACCGACAUUGACGCUGAGGCGCGAAAGCGUGGGGAGCAAACAGG
rnacentral:rRNA from 1 species